rnacentral:rRNA from 1 species
UACGUAGGGGGCAAGCGUUGUCCGGAAUCAUUGGGCGUAAAGAGCGCGUAGGCGGCCUGCUAAGUCGAACGUGAAAUCCCCGGGCUCAACCCGGGAACUGCGUCCGAUACUGGCAGGCUUGAAUCCGGGAGAGGGAUGUGGAAUUCCAGGUGUAGCGGUGAAAUGCGUAGAUAUCUGGAGGAACACCGGUGGCGAAGGCGGCAUCCUGGACCGGUAUUGACGCUGAUGCGCGAAAGCCAGGGGAGCAAAGCGGG